rnacentral:rRNA from 1 species
UACGAAGGGGGCUAGCGUUGUUCGGAAUCACUGGGCGUAAAGGGCGCGUAGGCGGCUUGAUAAGUCGGGGGUGAAAGCCUGUGGCUCAACCACAGAAUUGCCUUCGAUACUGUCUGGCUUGAGACCGGAAGAGGUAAGUGGAACUGCGAGUGUAGAGGUGAAAUUCGUAGAUAUUCGCAAGAACACCAGUGGCGAAGGCGGCUAUCUGGACGGUUUCUGACGCUAAGACGCGAAAGCGUGGGGAGCAAACAGG